CCUACGGGAGGCAGCAGUGGGGAAUAUUGGGCAAUGGGCGCAAGCCUGACCCAGCAACGCCGCGUGAAGGAAGAAGGCUUUCGGGUUGUAAACUUCUUUUCUCAGGGACGAAGCAAGUGACGUUACCUGCGGAAUAAGCCACGGCUAACUACGUGCCAGCAGCCGCGGUAAUACGUAGGUGGCAAGCGUUAUCCGGAUUUACUGGGUGUAAAGGGCGUGUAGGCGGGAAAGCAAGUCAGAUGUGAAAACCAUGGGCUCAACCUGUGGCCCGCAUUUGAAACUGUUUUUCUUGAGUACUGGAGAGGCAGACGGAAUUCCUAGUGUAGCGGUGAAAUGCGUAGAUAUUAGGAGGAACACCAGUGGCGAAGGCGGUCUGCUGGACAGCAACUGACGCUGAGGCGCGAAAGCGUGGGGAGCAAACAGGAUUAGAUACCCCUGUAGUC
rnacentral:rRNA from 1 species